rnacentral:rRNA from 1 species
GUGGGGAAUCUUGCGCAAUGGGCGAAAGCCUGACGCAGCCAUGCCGCGUGAAUGAUGAAGGUCUUAGGAUUGUAAAAUUCUUUCACCGGGGACGAUAAUGACGGUACCCGGAGAAGAAGCCCCGGCUAACUUCGUGCCAGCAGCCGCGGUAAUACGAAGGGGGCUAGCGUUGCUCGGAAUUACUGGGCGUAAAGGGCGCGUAGGCGGACAGCUUAGUCAGAGGUGAAAGCCCAGGGCUCAACCUUGGAAUUGCCUUUGAUACUGGCUGUCUUGAGUUUGGGAGAGGUGAGUGGAACUCCGAGUGUAGAGGUGAAAUUCGUAGAUAUUCGGAAGAACACCAGUGGCGAAGGCGACUCACUGGCCCAAUACUGACGCUGAGGCGCGAAAGCGUGGGGAGCAAACAGGAUUAGAAACCCCAGUAGUCC